AAUACUUGUCGCUUUGAGUUUUUGUUUCUAAAGUUUGAUCAUUCGUCUUAUUUAAAAUAUUAUGGAAUUAUUAUUUAUUUUUUGUGACUUGCUUUAUUAUCAAAAGUACUUUAAGUAUGACUUAUCAUUUUUUAUAUUUGCACUAAUUUUUAAAAUAAGACGAAUGGUCAAACGUCGCAAAAAAAGUCAAAGCGAUAACUAUU
rfam:Oryza sativa Japonica Group DNA, chromosome 1, cultivar: Nipponbare, complete sequence.